rnacentral:rRNA from 1 species
UACGUAGGGUCCAAGCGUUGUCCGGAAUCAUUGGGCGUAAAGAGCUCGUAGGCGGCUUGUUAAGUCGGGCGUGAAAUCCCGGGGCUCAACCCCGAGCGGUCGUGAGAAACUGGCAGGCUAGAGUGCGGGAGAGGAGAGUGGAAUUCCUGGUGUAGCGGUGGAAUGCGCAGAUAUCAGGAAGAACACCCGUGGCGAAGGCGGCUCUCUGGAACGCAACUGACGCUGAGACGCGAAAGCGUGGGGAGCAAACAGG